rnacentral:rRNA from 1 species
GAGUUUGAUCAUGGCUCAGGAUGAACGCUAGCGGCAGGCUUAAUACAUGCAAGUCGAGGGGCAUCAAGGUACACGAAAGUGUAUUGUUGGCGACCGGCGGACGGGUGAGUAAUAGGUAGGUAACCUACCUCAUACUGAGGCAUAGCUGGGAGAAAUUCCAGGUAAUUCCUCAUGAGGUUAUAUGACACAUGUGAUAUAAUCAAAGGUAUCGCAAGGUACUGGUAUGAGAUGGGCUUACUGACCAUUAGCUAGUUGGUGAGAUAAGAGCUCACCAAGGCGAAGAUGGUUAGGGGUUUUGAGAGAGAGAUCCCCCACAUUGGAACUGAGAUACGGUCCAGACUCCUACGGGAGGCAGCAGUAGGGAAUAUUGGGCAAUGGGCGGAAGCCUGACCCAGCCAUGCCGCGUGAAGGAAGACGGCCUUAUGGGUUGUAAACUUCUUUACUAUGCGACUAACUAGAUUUACGAGAUAAUUCUAUAGAAUGUAGCAUAGCAAAAAGCACCGGCUAACUCCGUGCCAGCAGCCGCGGUAAUACGGAGGGUGCGAGCGUUAUUCGGAAUUACUGGGUUUAAAGGGUGCGUAGGCGGCUAAGUAAGUUGUCAUUGAAAGGCUACAGCUCAACUGUAGUAGUGGUGGCGAUACUGCUUAGCUAAGAACAUGGGAGGGGUACUUGGAAUGUGUGGUGUAGCGGUGAAAUGCGUAGAUAUCACACAGAACACCAGAGGCGAAGGCGGAGUACUAGACCAUAGUUGACGCUGAGGCACGAAAGCGUGGGGAUCAAACAGGAUUAGAUACCCUGGUAGUCCACGCCCUAAACGAUGAUCACUAGAUAUUGGCGACAAACAGUCAGUGUCCAAGCGAAAGUGAUAAGUGAUCCACCUGGGGACUACGGCCGCAAGGUUAAACUCAAGGAAUUGANGGGGCCCGCACAAGCGGAGGAGCAUGNGUUUAAUUCGAUGGUACGCGAGGAACUUACCUGGGUUAGACGUAUGAGCGAUGCAGCUGAAAG